GACGAACGCUGGCGGCGUGCCUAAUACAUGCAAGUAGGACGCAGUUGCGAACGGGUGAGUAACGCGUAGGUAACUACCUAUUAGAGGGGGAUAACUAUUGGAAACGAUAGCUAAUACCGCAUACUAGUAGAUGGACCUGCGUUGUAUUAGCUAGUAGGUAGGGUAAUGGCCUACCUAGGCAACGAUACAUAGCCGACCUGUGGGGGUGGACGGCCAACCUUGGACUUGGACACGGCCCAGACUCCGACGGGAGGCAGCAGUAGGGAAACUUCGGAAAUGGGGGGAACCCUGACCGAGCAACGCCGCGGGAGUGAAGAAGGUGUUCGGAUCGGAAAGCUCUGUUGUUAAGGAAGCGGUACUUAACCAGAAAGGGACGGCUAACUACGUGCCAGCAGCCGCGGUAAUUC
rnacentral:rRNA from 1 species